rnacentral:rRNA from 1 species
AUGGCUGCCACGUUAAAGAAAGGGGAGGAGGAGGCGGCGAGCUACUGGGGCGUGGCGCCGGCGAGGCUCGUCAAGGAGGACGGCACCGAGUGGAAGUGGUCGUGCUUCAGGCCGUGGGAUGCGUACGAGGCCGACGUGUCCAUCGUUCUGACGAAGCACCACCGGCCGGCCACGUUCGGGGACAAGGUGGCCUUGUGGACGGUCAAGGCGAUACGCUGGCCCACGGACCUCUUCUUCCAGAGGAGGUACGGUUGCCGCGCGAUGAUGCUGGAGACGGUGGCCGCAGUCCCCGGCAUGGUGGCUCGCGCGGUGCUCCACCUCCGGUCGCUCCGGCGCUUCGAGCAGAGCGGCGAGUGGAUCCGUGCACUGCUGGAGGAGGCGCAGAACGAGCGCAUGCACCUCAUGACCUUCAUGGAGGUGUCCCAGCCGCGGUGGUACGAGCGCGCGCUCGUCGUCGUCGUCCAGGGCGUCUUCUUCCACGCCUACCUCGCCACCUACCUCGCCUCCCCAAAGGUCGCGCACCGCAUGGUGGGGUACCUGGAGGAGGAGGCCGUGCACUCCUACACCGAGUUCCUCCGUGACCUCGAGGCCGGCAAGAUCGACGACGUGCCCGCGCCGGCCAUCGCCAUCGACUACUGGCGCCUCCCGGCCGGCGCGACCCUGAAAGAUGUCGUCAGGGUUGUCCGCGCCGACGAGGCGCACCACCGGGACGUCAACCACUACGCCUCUGACAUACAUUGCCAGGGGCAUGCACUGCGAGAGGUAGCUGCGCCGAUCGGCUACCACUGA